GGCAAAGAUGAAGAGAGCUUUAAUAUUCUGACACCUCUUGUAUGAGAAGGGCUUUGAGCACUUCUCUGAGCACAGAUAGCGACUCUCUGAGCC